CCUGUUUCCGCCGCCCGCCCAAGCCGCCUCCGGCAAGGACCUGGCCGGCGCCACCGCCCCUUCCCCGGCGGCCCGCCCACGGCCAGGCGCGCCUUGUCCUCCCUCCCUGCGCUCUGGCCAUGGCCCGCCGGUGUGCUCCUCCUCCCUUCGUCCGGGGCCCCGGGUCGUGCCUCCCGCCUCGCCUCGCCUCCUCGCGCCUGGUUUGGAUUCGCUCGUCCUCGAUUCGCCGCCCGUUUAGGUUUAGAACCACGCAAGAUUUGGUUUCUGCUCGUGCUCAAUUCGUCCGUUUGGGAUUGCGCCUGGUUUGAUUUUGCUCGCCGUCGCCCGUUUGGGGUCUCGUCCGGUUCGAUUUUGCUUGUCGCCUUCGUCCGUUUAGAGUUGCCGUCCGGUUCGAUUUUGCUCGUCGCCGUCAUCCGUGUGGAAUCGCGUACGCUUCGAUUUUGCUCGUCCUCGCCGUCGUCUGUGGAGUAGCGUCCGAUUCGAUUUUGCUCGUCUUCGUCGUCGUCCGUGUCGAGUCGCGUCCGGUUCGAUUUCGCUCGUCCUCGCCGUUGUCCCGAUGCGCUCGCGUGGUCCGUCUCGCCUCGUCGGGGGUGGAUUACGGCCGGAGACGGGGAGCGAUGUUCGUUUAUCGUGCUAGUUCAGACCGGUUCCUCGGUUACGUCACCUGCGUUGCUCUCUUGUGAUACUCUGUCAAUUCUUGGUCCUCUGUCAGUUCUUGUUGGCCCUCUGUCAAUUCUUGAGUUCUUGUUGUACCGGUUAGGCCUUUGGCGUGUGUGCUCUCAUCUUAGAUGGGGUGAUUCCUUAGUUCUGAUGGUGUAGACUGUUUAUGUUCUUUCCAAUUUGUUUCUUUUUUAUCAUGCUUUGCUUUGUUUUGCCUGCUGCUGAACUAAUUGAACACCUGCUGCUGCUACUGUUGGACAAAGGUUCCUUCUUUUCUUCCUGAUGUUGCUAUUUUACUCAUAGGAGUUCUAGAUGAGCUGCUGCUAGUUAAUUCCCCUUAGACUACAUUCUAGAUUGAAUAGCAUAACUCAAGAAUUUUGUCAUUGCACACAUGGGCAUAUAUAUAUUUCUGUUGUGAGCAUAACUCCAAAACUUAUUUAUCCAUGAAAGCACGUUCAUCUCAUGUUUAUGCGCAUGUUUUUUUUUUGUCCAUGAAUUCUGUCGUGUCCCUUUCCUUUGGACAAAAAUUUCAACAAACCUAUAACGUGGACAUGUGCUGCUUGUUUUCAUGUGAUGAUGGUGAUCUAGUUGACUAGCCCAACUCUUAUGCUCUGACAUUUGUUAAUCCCCAGUUAGUGUGCUUGAAAAAUUAUUGCUUGUCAUGUUAAAUUUUAUGGCAUCAACUCGGUAUUGUGAUUAGUGACCUAGUACUCUGUAUUUGUUUAGUGUAGACAGCUAACUUCUUUUUUCUUAUUUUUUUAGUGAUAUGCGUGUUCUGCUAUGUCUUAUGUUGAUAGUAUAUUCUUUAUUAUUAUUAUUCAUGUCCAGUCACUGGAAUAAUGCUUUUCUUGAUUUUCCUAGACUUUGUGACAAUUAAUUUAUAGUGCGAUCAUUGAGUUUCUGACAUCCUAUUGCAUAAAAUUCUGUUGUAAUGUUUGUUGGAUCAUUGAGUAGUUAAUAUUGAUUCUGAGCUUGUUGGAUCAUUGAACUUCUGCGUGCGCUUCUGUUAUCUGAGGGACACUCAUGAUCCCGCAUUUCGUGUGUGCGGCGGAGCGAUGAACGAUUACGUUUUGCGUUCCUGCGUUUUGUGUUCGCCGUCUGGUUUUGAAUUUGGAUUACGGAGACGGGGAGAGGCCUGAGUAAGGUCAGUUUCAGAUCGGUUCCGUCGCUGCGUUGAUCGUCGGCGAUUUCCAGACCUCAAACGCAUGCGCCCUUGUGAUACUCUAAUUUGGCUCGUGGUCGUUACGGUUGUUCUUACGUUCUUGAAUAACCCCAUCUUAUUCGCAGAGAUGGUGUGAUUCGUUAUGGUUCUUCUGAUGGUUGCUUAUGUUCUUUCGAAUUGGGUUCUUCUUGUAAUGCUUUGCCUAUGUUCCCAAUGUCUGUCUUUCUAAUUGGCUGCUUAUGUUCUUUCGAAUUGGGUUCUUCUUACGGGGAUGCGUUCAGAGGUGCAAACCAUGUAGGCCGUGGUGUGUUUAUACUAUCUAUGGUGUGUUCUACACUAUCUGAUGUGGAACGUAGAAAUAUUGAUAUCACUUCUGUGCUAGUAUACUAGAUAUGGUGUGUUUCAUCCAAGUUAACCACAUCUCUUACAAAUUUUCCUUGGAGUGAUUGAUGUCUUGAUGAAUAUAAUCAUUUAUGCUAACUUGGUAUUGGUAGUUCCUGAGGUAACACACCAGUACUUGUUUAGUGCAGACAAUUGACUAUUCUUUUUUCUGAACUUUUUUGUGAUAUGUGUGUUAUGUGGAUACCAUAUUCUAAUGCUUUUCUAAGUAUUCAAGGUACAGACUUGUGGAUCUGGACAUGUCAAAUUUGCUCUUUAUUGGGUUGCUAAGGACACUGAACAGUUUGGCUGGGCCACUGCACGGCCUGGCUAAUCAGGAAGUGUUGCUAUGAAUCAAAUCUAUAAUGAAACAGACUGGGAGUAACAUCACAACCGACCAACUUAAAGAAUAUGUAUGGAAGACACUGGAGAGUGGAAAGGUUGUUCCUGGCUAUGGUCAUGGAGUUCUACGUAAUACAGACCCAAGAUACUCGUGCCAAAGGGGGUUUACAUUGAAAUAUUUACCCGACCCAAGAUACUCAUGCCGAAGGGAGUUCACAUUGAAAUAUUUACCCGAGGACCCACUUUUCCAACUGGUACAGCCAUGUAGAUCUAGACAUGAUGCUAAUGGGUUGGGUUUGCAUAUAAUGCAGUAUGGACCAACAAAAUGGUCUCAUUGCAAGGUGGACACACUGGUUAUGUGAAGAACUGAUUGGUAAAUAUGAAGCUGAUUUUGAAUUCAUACAUACAGAGAGAAGCUUGGACUAUUGAGGAGGAACAUGCACUGAUUAAUGCCCAUAGGGUAUAUGGGAAUAGAUGGGAAGAAAUAGCAAAAGUUUUUCCUAGAAGGAAUCGGGUACUUCUAUUUGUUCUUAGGUUCUUCUCACCUAUAGCUAAAGUCAAAGACGACAAAACCAAGUGGAUUAUUGGAGUUACAAGAUACACAAAAUCAUCGGUCAUCUAAAUCUUCUUUUCUAAUAUGACUGUUGGUGCUGCUCAUGAGGCUAGCCACCGGCUUGGAAGGGAUGAGAGGCAAUCACUGUUGUCAACUUGAAACGUAUAAUUUUUUAGGAACGAAGAUCUGAAUCACCCUCCCGCCUCGAGAGAAAUCAGUUUAGUCAUUCAGGUUCUGGUAUUUCUUUAUAGCUUUCUGAGUUUACUUUGGUCUUUCAUGUAUUUGCUUUCUGUUUGUGCCCCUAUCUAUUUCUGUUCUUGUGUGCAAGCGCUCCAUUCUGUGUGUGUCCGACUUUGUGUGGCUUGAUUCUCUUGUGUGUGUCACUGUGUGUUUGACUAUGUGUGAAUAUUGCAUUUGACUGUGAUGCGUUACUAUGUUUGACUCUGUGUGUGUGAUUGUGUGAAUAUUGUGCAUUUGACUGUGAUGUGUGACUGUGUGAGUAUUGUAUUUUGACAAUGACUGUGUGUGGCUUGACUGUGUGUGUGUGGCUUGUAUGCUUUGCUGAAUGAUUGGUUGUUGUGGCUUAACACUGCCUCUGCCGGUCCCAAGCCCGGAUGUGAAAAUGUGGAGGGAGUCUGUUUCUCGUGUGCAAGUGCUACAUUAUGUGUGUGACCAUGUGUGUGAUGUGUUCGUAUCUAUGUCUAAUUCUUUUGUCUUGAUUGUGUGCAAGUGAUUGAUUGGGUGUGUGCUUGCGUGACCAUGCGUGUAUUGCAUUUGCUUGACGGUGUGGUUUGUAUAACUUGUGUUUUAUAUGUGAGGAUUGAUUGUUGUUUGUUGAAUUUGAACAGAUCUAACACUAUUCUUUUUUCUAAACUUUUUUGUGAUUAUGUCUUAUGUGGAUACCAUACUCUUUUUUGUAUUAUUGUUGUCCAGUCACUGGAAUAACGCUUUUCUAAGUAUUUAAGGUACAACCAUGUAGAUCUAGACAUGAUGCUGAUGGGUUGGCUUUGCAUACAAUGCAGUAUGGACCAACAAAAUGGUCUCAUUGCAAGGUGGACAUAUAGGCAAGAAAUGUCAAGAGAGAGAGAAGCUUGGACUAUUGAGGAGGAAUCUGCACUGAUUAAUGCCCAUCGGGUAUAUGGGAAUAGAUGGGCAGAAAUAGCAGAAGUUCUUCCUAGAAGGAAUCGGAUACUUCUAUUUGUUCUUAGGUUCUUCUCACCUAUAGCUAAAGUCAAAGACGACAAAACCAAGUGGAUUAUUGUUGAUACAAGAUACACAAAAUCAUCGGUCAUCUAAAUCUUUUUUUCUAAUAUGACUGUUGGUGCUGCUCAUGAGGCUAGCCACCGGCUUGGAAGGGAUGAGAGGCAAUCACUGUUGUCAACUUGAAACGUAUAAUUUUUUAGGAACGAAGAUCUGAAUCACCCUCCCGCCUCGAGAGAAAUCAGUUUAGUCAUUCAGGUUCUGGUAUUUCUUUAUAGCUUUCUGAGUUUACUUUGGUCUUUCAUGUAUUUGCUUUCUGUUUGUGCCCCUAUCUAUUUCUGUUCUUGUGUGCAAGCGCUCCAUUCUGUGUGUGUCCGACUUUGUGUGGCUUGAUUCUCUUGUGUGUGUCACUGUGUGUUUGACUAUGUGUGAAUAUUGCAUUUGACUGUGAUGCGUUACUAUGUUUGACUCUGUGUGUGUGAUUGUGUGAAUAUUGUGCAUUUGACUGUGAUGUGUGACUGUGUGAGUAUUGUAUUUUGACAAUGACUGUGUGUGGCUUGACUGUGUGUGUGUGGCUUGUAUGCUUUGCUGAAUGAUUGGUUGUUGUGGCUUAACACUGCCUCUGCCGGUCCCAAGCCCGGAUGUGAAAAUGUGGAGGGAGUCUGUUUCUCGUGUGCAAGUGCUACAUUAUGUGUGUGACCAUGUGUGUGAUGUGUUCGUAUCUAUGUCUAAUUCUUUUGUCUUGAUUGUGUGCAAGUGAUUGAUUGGGUGUGUGCUUGCGUGACCAUGCGUGUAUUGCAUUUGCUUGACGGUGUGGUUUGUAUAACUUGUGUUUUAUAUGUGAGGAUUGAUUGUUGUUUGUUGAAUUUGAACAGAUCUAACACUAUUCUUUUUUCUAAACUUUUUUGUGAUUAUGUCUUAUGUGGAUACCAUACUCUUUUUUGUAUUAUUGUUGUCCAGUCACUGGAAUAACGCUUUUCUAAGUAUUUAAGGUACAACCAUGUAGAUCUAGACAUGAUGCUGAUGGGUUGGCUUUGCAUACAAUGCAGUAUGGACCAACAAAAUGGUCUCAUUGCAAGGUGGACAUAUAGGCAAGAAAUGUCAAGAGAGAGAGAAGCUUGGACUAUUGAGGAGGAAUCUGCACUGAUUAAUGCCCAUCGGGUAUAUGGGAAUAGAUGGGCAGAAAUAGCAGAAGUUCUUCCUAGAAGGAAUCGGAUACUUCUAUUUGUUCUUAGGUUCUUCUCACCUAUAGCUAAAGUCAAAGACGACAAAACCAAGUGGAUUAUUGUUGUUACAAGAUACACAAAAUCAUCGGUCAUCUAAAUCUUUUUUUCUAAUAUGACUGUUGGUGCUGCUCAUGAGGCUAGCCACCGGCUUGGAAGGGAUGAGAGGCAAUCACUGUUGUCAACUUGAAACGUAUAAUUUUUUAGGAACGAAGAUCUGAAUCACCCUCCCGCCUCGAGAGAAAUCAGUUUAGUCAUUCAGUAUGGACCAACAAAAUGGUCUCAUUGCAAGGUGGACAUAUAGGCAAGAAAUGUCAAGAGAGAGAGAAGCUUGGACUAUUGAGGAGGAAUCUGCACUGAUUAAUGCCCAUCGGGUAUAUGGGAAUAGAUGGGCAGAAAUAGCAGAAGUUCUUCCUAGAAGGAAUCGGGUACUUCUAUUUGUUCUUAGGUUCUUCUCACCUAUAGCUAAAGUCAAAGACGACAAAACCAAGUGGAUUAUUGUUGUUACAAGAUACACAAAAUCAUCGGUCAUCUAAAUCUUUUUUUCUAAUAUGACUGUUGGUGCUGCUCAUGAGGCUAGCAGCCACCGGCUUGGAAGCGAUGAGAGGCAAUCACUGUUGUCAACUUGAAAUGUAUAAUUUUUUAGGAAUGAAGAUCUGAAUCACCCUCCCGCCUCGAGAGAAAUCAGUUUAGUCAUUCAGAGAAGCUUGGACUAUUGAGGAGGAACAUGCACUGAUUAAUGCCCAUCGGGUAUAUGGGAAUAGAUGGGCAGAAAUAGCAAAAGUUCUUCCUAGAAGAAAUCGGGUACUUCUAUUUGUUCUUAGGUUCUUCUCACCUAUAGCUAAAGUCAAAGACGACAAAACCAAGUGGAUUAUUGGAGUUACAAGAUACACAAAAUCAUCGGUCAUCUAAAUCUUCUUUUCUAAUAUGACUGUUGGUGCUGCUCAUGAGGCUAGCCACCGGCUUGGAAGGGAUGAGAGGCAAUCACUGUUGUCAACUUGAAACGUAUAAUUUUUUAGGAAUGAAGAUCUGAAUCACCCUCCCGCCUCGAGAGAAAUCAGUUUAGUCAUUCAGAGAGAAGCUUGGACUAUUGAGGAGGAACAUGCACUGAUUAAUGCCCAUCGGGUAUAUGGGAAUAGAUGGGCAGAAAUAGCAAAAGUUCUUCCUAGAAGGAAUCGGGUACUUCUAUUUGUUCUUAGGUUCUUCUCACCUAUAGCUAAAGUCAAAGACGACAAAACCAAGUGGAUUAUUGGAGUUACAAGAUACACAAAAUCAUCGGUCAUCUAAAUCUUCUUUUCUAAUAUGACUGUUGGUGCUGCUCAUGAGGCUAGCCACCGGCUUGGAAGCGAUGAGAGGCAAUCACUGUUGUCAACUUGAAACGUAUAAUUUUUUAGGAACGAAGAUCUGAAUCACCCUCCCGCCUCGAGAGAAAUCAGUUUGGUCAUUCAUGUUCUGUAUGGACCAACAAAAUGGUCUCAUUGCAAGGUGGACAUAUAGGCAAGAAAUGUCAAGAGAGAGAGAAGCUUGGACUAUUGAGUAGGAACAUGCAGUGAUUAAUGCCCAUCGGGUAUAUGGGAAUAGAUGGGCAGAAAUAGCAAAAGUUCUUCCUAGAAGGUACCAUCAAACAACUUGCAUCUUAUUGGGAUAAUGUAGCCUAGCCUUGGCCCUCAUUGUUACCAGAUUCCUAGCCCCUGCCACUUGCUCAUUCUUUCCUGCACAUCAUAACGUGUACCACACAUUUGAACAUUGCACGAAUCGGGUACUUCUAUUUGUUCUUAGCUUCUUGUCACCUAUAGCUAAAAUCAAAGACGACAAAACCAAGUGGAUUAUUGGAGUUACAAGAUACACAAAAUCAUCGGUCAUCUAAAUCUUCUUUUCUAUUAUCACUAUUGUGCUGCUCAUGAGGCUAGCCACCGGCUUGGAAGCGAUGAGAGGCAAUCACUCUUGUCAACUUGAAACGUAUAAUUUUUUAGGAACGAAGAUCUGAAUCACCCUCCCGCCUCGAGAGAAAUCAGUUUAGUCAUUCAGUAUGGACCAACAAAAUGGUCUCAUUGCAAGGUGGACAUAUAGGCAAGAAAUGUCAAGAGAGAGAGAAGCUUGGACUAUUGAGUAGGAACAUGCACUGAUUAAUGCCCAUCGGGUAUAUGGGAAUAGAUGGGCAGAAAUAGCAAAAGUUCUUCCUAGAAGGUACCGUCAAACAACUUGCAUCUUAUUGGGAUAAUGUAGCCUAGCCUUGGCCCUCAUUGUUACCAGAUUCCUAGCCCCUGCCACUUGCUCAUUCUUUCCUGCACAUCAUAACGUGUACCACACAUUUGAACAUUGCACGAAUCGGGUACUUCUAUUUGUUCUUAGCUUCUUGUCACCUAUAGCUAAAAUCAAAGACGUCAAAACCAAGUGGAUUAUUGGAGUUACAAGAUACACAAAAUCAUCGGUCAUCUAAAUCUUCUUUUCUAUUAUCACUAUUGUGCUGCUCAUGAGGCUAGCCACCGGCUUGGAAGCGAUGAGAGGCAAUCACUCUUGUCAACUUGAAACGUAUAAUUUUUUAGGAACGAAGAUCUGAAUCACCCUCCCGCCUCGAGAGAAAUCAGUUUAGUCAUUCAGUAUGGACCAACAAAAUGGUCUCAUUGCAAGGUGGACAUAUGGGCAAGAAAUGUCAAGAGAGAGAGAAGCUUGGACUAUUGAGGAGGAACAUGCACUGAUUAAUGCCCAUCGGGUAUAUGAGAAUAGAUGGGCAGAAAUAGCAAAAGUUCUUCCUAGAAGGAAUCGGGUACUUCUAUUUGUUCUUAGGUUUUUCUCACCUAUAGCUAAAGUCAAAGACGGCAACACCAAGUGGAUUAUUGGAGUUACAAGAUACACAAAAUCAUCGGUCAUCUAAAUCUUCUUUCUAAUAUGACUGUUGGUGCUGCUCAUGAGGCUAGCCACCGGCUUGGAAGCGAUGAGAGGCAAUCACUGUUGUCAACUUGAAACGUGUAAUUUUUUAGGAACGAAGAUCUGAAUCACCCUCCCGCCUCGAGAGAAAUUAGUUUAGUCAUUCAGGUUCUGGUAUUUCUUUAUAGCUUUCUGAGUUUACUUCGGUCUUUCAUGUAUUUGCUUUCUGUUUGUGCCCCUAUCUAUUUAUGUUUCUGUGUGUGACUGUGUGUGUGAUGUGUCCGUAUCUAUGUCUGUUUCUUUUGUCUUGAUUGUGUGCAAGUGCUUGAUUGUGUGUGUGCUUGUGUGACCUUGUGUGUAUUGCAUUUGCUUGAUGGUGUGGCCUGUAUGCUUUGCUGAAUGAUUGGUGUUGUAUAACUUGUGUUUUUGUAUUGUUGUGGUUUAACACUGCCUUUGCCUGUCCCAAGCCCGGAUGCAAAAAUGUGGAGGGAGCCGCAGUUACCUCCUUUGUAUUGUUUGCCAUAGAAUGUGGAUAGAAAUUACUCUGUCCUAAUUGAAUAGUGAAUCUUCACAUAAUGUCGAAGCAUGUGAUUCAGGCUAUGAGAUGCAUCCUUCCUUGCUAUGAAAAAUCUAGCAAGUCUAAUUGUUGUUAGAAUUUGUCCCGUCCCGUCUCCUAAGUUAAUCUCGCUGGUUUCUUAAAUCUUGUUAGCACCGAUGUUCUUCUCUGCUAAAAUAUACACUUAAAAACCAGUCAUCUGUUUUUUAUUCUGCUUUAGGUUGAAUUUUUGUUUGGACUCCGACCCAUGUAGGGUGUCCUUUUCAGUUGUGUCAUUUUCUAGAGGGGGUGAGCUUCUAAGAGUGUGUGUGUGUGAGGGAGGGGGGAGGAGCUGACUUCGGCGCACGACCAGUAAGGCACUCUGUAGGCUCGUGCGUAGCUGACUUCAGCAUACGACCAGUAAGGCACUGUGUAGGCCUGUGCAUCCCCUCUUCCCCUUUUUGAUUCAAUUCAUUUUAGAUGAAGAGCGGCCACCUCAUUCUGGUCCGAGAGCCAAAAUCCGAUUCUCCUCGGUGUUCGAGUGCAGCUAUGCGGGGUGAUGGGGGAGAAAUUGGUAGCCAUCCAGCCGAACCUAGCGACGAUAGCAAAAUUGGUAGCGUUGAAUAUAAUCUGUUUGUCUUCGUGUCUUCGUAUGUCCACCCCGCCUCCACUCGAGAAUAGCAUAUGAAUUAUUUGUUUUGAAUUUCACAUGAGAUAACUUUGGUCAAUGAUGUAAAAAUGAGUUAUUGCUCUUUGCUCAUCGGUUCAGCUGACAGCUGACGGGGGCUGUGCUAGCAUGUGUUUUAUUGGGUCGAAAGUGGUGGUGUUUUUUCUGUCAUUUCUGUUAGUUCAGUGUGUCGUGUACGUGCUCUUCAUUAGCAUCCCAUUGUUAGAUUGUGGAUACAAAUGAAGCCUCCUCAGCUGUUUCGAUUCUGGGUCGUCGGAUCGUCUCCCCGAGCGCGUCCUAGCCGUUGGAUCUCCGGGUGGACCGAUACUGGCCGUUGGAUCAUGAGAUGGAGAGGUCCGGGCCGUCGGAUCAAUAGCAAACACUGCUACAAUGAAUAGUGUCCACCCUUGUGUGCCACCGCCUGUAAAUCUCAUGCUCCACCGAGGGCAUUAUUGUCUUUUCACAGGCUGGCGUAUAAAAGGCCGCAUGCCCAUGUGUAACCCUAGCCUCCCCUUCCCCUCCUCCCGUCCUCGCCUCCGCCCCGUCGCCCCCGUCUCCCCCUCGCGCUCACGCCCCUCUCCUUCGUUCCUCCGACGCCGUGUUCCCCUCCUCCCCUCCUCGUCGUUGUUCUCCUGCCACUCGUCGCCGCUGCUCUCCCCGCCGAGCUCGCCGCACUCGCGUUGUCCGGACAUGGACACAUCCGGGCGGAUCCGGUCGCUAGGCGGCAUGGGGCUGUGGAUCCGACGAGCUCACUGCGGCGGCCGGCAGUUUCCUGAGAGAGAGAGAUAGAGAGGAAAGUGAGAGAGAGUGCUAGGGGAGGAGAAGAAAAGAGUGGAGGGAGAGAUGCGGCAGGGCAGCGGUCAGUCCGUCGGCGCUGCACACGGAGGAGACGCGGCAAGGAGGAGCACGAGCCACCGCAGCCACUGGAGCAGUGGGUCGUCGCGCCAUCGACGGGAGGAAGCCGUGCGGAGUGCGCUGUCGCCACCGGCUGCGCUAGGCGACGCCGACAGGCACCAGUGGAUCGAUCCGGUGCCAAAAACCGUCCCAGGCCCGCUGCAUCUCCGGCUCUGGCGAGGCACUCCUGUAGAGGCCAUUCUCUUCCUCACCACGUGUCGCUGGGAGGAUCCAGAAGAGGGGGAGCGGCAACAAAUCGCGACGGAGGAGCAUGGGCUGCAAAUUCGGAUGAAGAGGGGAAAGGAGAUUAACAGUUCUGUCACAAAGAUAACACCAUAGACCAAGCAAGAGGUUUUAUGUGCUGCUUGCUGCAUGUAUGUGUUGGGUAUUUUCAGAGCAUUGAAAUUAAAUAAACACUUUCAGUCCAUCAUUUUGUGUUGGACCUUGUUGCUUGCAUUCUCGUGUCUUUUGGCAAGGAGAAAAUUGUCAUUUGGAGGGGAAAAGACAGCUGAAAACAUGCAAGAUAGUAUAUGCAAAAGACACACCCUUCAGUUAUUGAAUCAGAGUUCAGCGGUGAAGAACACUACAAUUUUUUGGUUGAUGGAUUGGUCUCAAUAGAUUGUAAGGGAUUUCCAUGAAGUGGUUAUUCAAAGAAUGGAACCAAUGUUAUGGCUUUCUAAAAUGGACGUGCAUAGAUCUGAGAAAGAAGAGAACAGGAAUCUAGCGGACGGAGGUCAUGUAGUAUUCACCAAUAGAUGAUAGAACCACAUAUUUUGGAAAUUCCUUGACAAAAAACACAAGAGCAUCAUUGUUUGGUCAAUUGCAGGUCAAUGUUGGCACUGGCCAGAUCAAGCAGGCAGUGGCGACACUGGACGAGGCGUCCUUGCACUGCAAGGCUGCCCUCGACAUAUGUGAAAAGCUUGGCGAGUUAAUUCUUUUCCUCGAAUCAAACGGAAAUCUGAAAACUAUCAAAGAGAUACCAAAUGAUGAAUAUUUCAUAUGUCGACAGGCAUGGUUGACUAUGAUGUGCUCAUCGUUGACUCCACCACCGUUGGUUUUGAGGAUGGUACCUCAAGAAUAAACAGACCUGUGAGCACGCCGUCCUUGCAUUCACUCUUGGAGUGAAGAAGAGUAUCUGCUGUUUAAUAAGAGCCUUCUGAUCUUCGUACUAUAAAGACUGGAUGUGAUGGCCAUUGUGCUUACUAUCAAAACUGUUACUUGAUGAGAACAUUCUAAGCUAAUUCAAGAUAUGUGCUUCCCCCUUGAUGAAUUAUUAUACAUACAUCAGCAGGAAAAACGUGUUUAAUCUACCAUGAACGUAAAUGGAUGAUAGCAGGAUGUUAAAACUUCAUAUAUGUUGUUGCUCAUCGGAUAUAACUAUAACAUGAUGGUCUCAGUCUAUUUUUCAGAGUUCGAAACCUAUAUUAGUCAUCAUGAGAGUGAGAUUUGUAAAUUCCACCUUGAAUCAGUUAACACUUUCCCUUUGCUGUACAAUUUUUUUGUUCUUAUGAUGGUACCAUGCUUGCUAAUUAUAAGAUGUACAAAUAAACUAUUCCUUUGUUUGUCUAGAAAUAGUUUUUCUACUUUCUAUGCAUUGAAGAGAUAGCAAAUCCCUUGCUACAUGUACUAGGGCGAUGCCCAGGUUCACCAAAGGGUCUUUUCAUGCAUGAAAAAGAGAGUAUAUAUCUUCUAGCUAUUAUCAGGUCGUAGGUGUACACAUGGUUAUUGAGUACCAUGACAUAAUCAUCCAUAGUUUUGUGAAAUUUGAAUUCCCAUCUCUUUAUCGUAUUAUUCAUUUUGCACUCGGCUUUCAUAGAAGAUAAAGGUUUGUUUUGUUUUGUUCAUAUGACCUGUUUUGGCUUUUGAGAUCAGUUGAAAGCUCUUGAUAUUUUGAAGUUUAUACUGCACUUCACAUUAAAAUAUCUGGGCAUAUGUUCCUUUAUUCAGCGAAGUGAACACCUAUACUCAGAUGCUUUUUCCACAGGCAUUCACCGUUUACUUGAUUACUGAUGGAAGGAUCUCCGUGCCAAUUGCUGUUGGGAACCAUUUGCCUCUACACCGAUGACCCUCAUGUUGUAUUAUACCAUGAGCUACCAUGACGUCCUCCACCGACCGCUAUUUGAACCUCAGCGCAUUCUUCUGUAAAAAUGACUCGCAUCAAGUCUUUUGCGCUUUCCUCUUGACUUUCUAAAUGCGGAUCAUAUUAUGUGUUAUUGCUUUCUUUAAGAUAUAUCACUGGCCAUGGAUUUCCUUUUAUCCGUCACCACCUUCAUACCUUUCUAUCCUGGAAUUUAUAUGGUGUACUGAGCUAUA